UUGAGCAAGAUGGAGAAGCAGGGCACGUGCAUUACUAGCUCAUGCACCACAAACCAAUAAUCUUUUGCUCGAGUUAGACUCUUGCUUGCUGCUUUGAUUUUUUUUGUUAGCACCAGCGAGAGUUGGUUCUUCAUGUGCCCCUCUUCCCCAUCAUGACCAC
rnacentral:pre_miRNA from 11 species